AAGUCGGCAAAUCGGAUCCGUAACUUCGGGAGAAGGAUUGGCUCUGGGGGCCGAGUCAGACAGGCCGAGAUCAGAUACGUGUCGUUCCAGUUGGGGGCUGGUUUCUUUGCUGCUUUGUGUGCUUCGAUGUGCGUUAUGGUGAGGUUACUGGACUCUGACCCGGGUCGAUCGUGGGCGGUUUCAGCUGUUAGUGUCGGGCAGGCACAAAAGCGGGAGGCCUUGAAGCGGCUGUACUUCCAUGGUCUGGCGCGCGACGGCAAACUCAGAACUGGUACGGACCAGGGGAAUCCGACCGUCUAAUUAAAACAAAGCAUUGCGAUGUCCACUGAUUGGUUGUGACGCAGUGUGAUUUCUGUCCAGUGCUCUGAAUGUCAAAGUGAAGAAAUUCAACCGAGCGCGGGUAAACGGCGGGAGUAACUAUGACUCUCUUAAGGUAGUCUAUGUUCGAUUACUCCAAGGCUUUUGUUGUAUGUAGUAGCCCGACGG
rfam:Schistosoma haematobium scaffold437_27, whole genome shotgun sequence.